GCGGCGCGUCCAAUACAUGAGGAUCGAACGAGAAUGUGUAGCAAUACACAUGUACAGUGGCGAAUUGGCGAGGACUACAUGGGUAACCUACCCUCGAGUGGGGAAUAACUAGCCGAAAGGUUAGCUAAUACCGCGUACGCUUCCCGGACUGCGGUUCGGGAAGGAAAGCGAUACCGUGGGUAUCGCGCUCUUGGAUGGGCUCAUGCCCUAUCAGCUUGUUGGUGAGGUAACGGCUCACCAAGGCUUCGACGGGUAACUGAUCUGAUAUUUUUAUCAGCAACACUGGCACUGCUACACGGGCUUUUUUCCUACGGGAGGCAGAGGGGGG
rnacentral:rRNA from 1 species